AUGGAGGUUCCGAAAGACCGUAUUGUUCCUUUGGUCCCAUACAAGCUGAAAGGAGGAGCCGAUGCAUGGUGGCAUCGUGUUCAAGAAGAGCGCAGGCUGAGGGGAGAACCUCGUGUGAGAACUUGGCGGCAAAUGAAAGGCCUCUUUGAAGGGAGAUUUUUGCCCGCUGAGUAUGACCAGAUCCUAUUUAUCCAAUUUAAAAAUUGUGCUCAAGGAAAUAUGACUGUUUCAGAUUACACAGAGGGUCAACAAGUUGCAAGGUACAUCAAUGAUCUCAAUGAUGCUAUUCAAGAUCGAUUGAUGAUGCAACAAAUCUGGUCCAUUGAUCAAGCACAAGCUCUAGCCUUAAAGGCCGAGAGGUUUGUGAGGACAAGGAAGGCAACUGAGGCUCCAUAUCCUCCAUAUCCUCAUACCAAAGGCUCGUCUAGGAGUCAGCCUAAUAGAGUGAAAGAAAAAACCGCUCCACCAAAGGCAAAACGACCCAUCCAAAAGCAAACUAGAGGCAAGGGUAAGUCCAAUGAAGGCCCAAAAUGCUAUAAAUGUGGUGAAAAGGGACACAUAUCCAGCGGUUGUCCACUAAGGAAAUUUGUUAACACAACUAUCCAUGAUGGUGAAGGCGAUGAGGAAGAAUACGAAUCUGAAGAUGUAGAGGGACAAGAGGUUAGUCAAGAAGUUAAAGAUGGUAUGUGUCAUUCAGUGUCUCCUAUGUUCCACACCACAACCUGA
rnacentral:rRNA from 1 species